AAAAAGAACAGUUAAUGUAGCAAAUUCAGGCUUUGCAGAAGAUCUAAGCCCUUCUUACAGAGGUUCAAAUCCUCUCUCUAACU
rnacentral:tRNA from 1 species